UGCCAGACUCCUACGGGAGGCAGCAGUGGGGGAUAUUGCACAAUGGGGGAAACCCUGAUGCAGCGACGCCGCGUGGGUGAAGAAGCGCCUCGGCGCGUAAAGCCCUGUCAGCAGGGAAGAAAAUGACGGUACCUGAAGAAGAAGCCCCGGCUAACUACGUGCCAGCAGCCGCGGUAAUACGUAGGGGGCGAGCGUUAUCCGGAAUUACUGGGUGUAAAGGGAGCGUAGACGGCGAGGUAAGCCUGAAGUGGAAGCCCGUGGCCCAACCACGGGACUGCUUUGGAAACUGUGUUGCUGGAGUGCAGGAGGGGUAAGCGGAAUUCCUAGUGUAGCGGUGAAAUGCGUAGAUAUUAGGAGGAACACCAGUGGCGAAGGCGGCCUGCUGGGCUUUUACUGACGCUGAGGCUCGAAAGCGUGGGUAGCAAACAGGAUUAGAUACCCCCGUAGC
rnacentral:rRNA from 1 species